rnacentral:rRNA from 1 species
GACGAACGCUGGCGGCGUGCUUAACACAUGCGAGUCGAACGGAAAGGCCCUGCUUGCCGGGUACUCGAGUGGCGAACGGGUGAGUAACACGUGGGUGAUCUGCCCUGCACUUCGGGAUAAGCCUGGGAAACUGGGUCUAAUACCGGAUAGGAGCCAUUUUUAGUGUGAUGGUUGGAAAGUUUUUUUCGGUGUAGGAUGAGCUCGCGGCCUAUCAGCUUGUUGGUGGGGUAAUGGCCUACCAAGGCGGCGACGGGUAGCCGGCCUGAGAGGGUGGACGGCCACAUUGGGACUGAGAUACGGCCCAGACUCCUACGGGAGGCAGCAGUGGGGAAUAUUGCACAAUGGGCGCAAGCCUGAUGCAGCGACGCCGCGUGGGGGAUGACGGCCUUCGGGUUGUAAACGCCUUUCGCUAGGGACGAAGCUUUUUGUGACGGUACCUAGAUAAGAAGCACCGGCUAACUACGUG